GACGAACGCUGGCGGCGUGCCUAAUACAUGCAAGUCGAGCGGAUUGAUGGGAGCUUGCUCCCUGAUAUCAGCGGCGGACGGGUGAGUAACACGUGGGCAACCUGCCUGUAAGACUGGGAUAACUUCGGGAAACCGGAGCUAAUACCGGAUAAUCCUCUUCCUCUCAUGAGGGAAAGCUGAAAGACGGCGUAAGCUGUCACUUACAGAUGGGCCCGCGGCGCAUUAGCUAGUUGGUGAGGUAACGGCUCACCAAGGCGACGAUGCGUAGCCGACCUGAGAGGGUGAUCGGCCACACUGGGACUGAGACACGGCCCAGACUCCUACGGGAGGCAG
rnacentral:rRNA from 1 species